ACCCGUGAAGAAAUUUGCAAUGGAUUUUCAGGAUGUGUUUUCGAUGCGGAUCCCUAUGGUUAUUUUGAGUGCAGUAAUGAUGUGGCUGGCAAGGCAAUUUCCAAGGCGUAUAGCAUUCAGACACUCUCCCAGGAUCGUAUGCAGUAUAUAACAUUGAAAUACGA